ensembl:misc_RNA Metazoa_SRP Metazoan signal recognition particle RNA
ACCGGGUGCGUUGGCAUGUGCCUGUAAUCCAAGUCACUGGGAGGCUGAGGUUGGUGGAUCAAGUGAGCUGAGGAGCUCUGGGCUGCAGCACGCUAUGUCGAACGGGUGUCCACGCCAAGUUCGGUAUCGAUAUGGUGUUCCUGGGGGAGCCCGGGACCACCAGGUUGUCUAAGGAGGGGUGAACCGGCCCAGGUCGGAAACGAAGCAGGUCAAAUCCCCCGUGCUGUCCAGUAGUGGGAUAAUACCUGUGAGUAGAUGCUGCAGUGCAGCCUUGGCAAAACAUUGAGACCUAGUCUUUU